GGCCGGGCAACGCGCAGUCAUAAAAGACCCGCAAGGGGAAAGCUGCGGGCCGUCUGUGAGCGGUGUUCAAGUGCCUGGCCCCCCAAUG
rnacentral:ncRNA from 1 species